GAAACAGCUGAGACUAAUAGGGAGUGGCAGGAUUGUGCCACAGCUGAAAGCAACUUACUACAAAUUUUUAAAAAGAAAAACCAACGAGGAAAGGGAAGGUGAGGCGGUGGAUGUGCUGAACUGGUGCCUGGUUGCGAUAAUGGACUGGAUGAAGGCCAAUAGGAUGAAGCUUAAUCCAGAUGGGACCGAGAUGCUGCUGAAGCUUUUUGUUGGCUUCUGCUGGGCCUGUUGAUGGUUAUUGAAAUGGUUUUAUUGAAAUGUAUUGUUUUGGUUAUAUGUCUAGGGAUGGUGGGAGUUGUAGUUCAGCAACAUAUAGAGGGCCAGUGGUUUCACACAUCUGUUUUAUGUUAUGCCUUUUUUGUUGCUUAACCUCUUUGUAAGUCACUGAGAGAUUAUUAUUUUUUUGCAGUGAGCAAUGGAAAAGUCCAACAAUAGAAAGUAUCAGUUAAAUGUAAAAUGACCUUAGUCAAUUUCCCAUUUCACAUCCUUGUGAAGACACUAUAGUUGCAUACACACCACACAUUUAAAGUACAUAGCUCCCCCCACCAAGAAUCCUGGGAACUGUAGUUUACCCUUCACAAGACUACAAUUCCCAGUGCCCUUUUCCAUGGACCAUGGUCUCCACUUCCUUGAGGAAUGACUUCUAGGGGGUGACCCAGAGGUCCUGAGCAAUGAGAUUUUUCUGCUAUGUUCCAGAUCUCCUGAUCCUUCCCCUAUUAAAAACAACAACUAAUGCCCCCCACCCUUUUUGUUUCAUUCAGUCUUGCAACAAACCUAUUCCAUUGAAUGAAAGGUGGAGUGUGAAUGUUUAAAUACAGAAAAUAAAUAUUAGCUAGGGUUCCGUUAUUAUUUUUAUUUUGCAAAAGGAGAACUGAGGUUCAGAGAUCAUGGCCAAUUAGCAGCUGGGCAGGGUGGAAUCAUGCAAUUCCCCCACUACAAGACUAUUUUAGAUACCCUUCCUGUUGGGAAGCUGUACUCUGGAAUACUGCUUGACGAAUAUUUCUUGGGAAGUUCUAGCAAUGUAUUGGCUCCCCGGAACAAUGAAACACAUGCUUCAGUUUAAGCUAAAGAGAACCCCCCUCGUUGUAUCAACUAGGUUACUUAGUAAAAAGCAUGUGCUUACAUACUUCUCUAGGCCUGGGGUGGGGUGAGAACUGUUUCGUGCUGAGCCCCAUUGAGGUGGCCACACCCGUGACCCAUCCUCGCUUAGCACCGCUUUGUGGAAAAGUCCCUUGCCUUUGCACACUGCAGAAAGAUGUUACGAAAUCCUGGCCCUGACAGAGAGCAGAUGCAUUAUUGGGAAGCCCUCGGGUCACAAGAGGGCUAAUAGUCACAUUCCUGGCUGCAAUGGCAAAAGAUUUACACCCCAUGCUCGCUUGCCUCACCCUGCACCAGGCUGAGGGCUCCCGGCCUAACCAGCCCCCUUGGCUUUAAUUGUUGUGUUAAUGGCCCUUUUAUUUGAAGCAGAUCCCCUGGCUUACAGAGGAGAAUGUCAUUAUGUUGUAUUUUAGAUGUAUUUACAUUCAACUUGCCACAGGGAUAACAUUCUAAUUAUUUUCUAUAGCUGACAGCACUAGCGUCUGCUGGUAUUAUAGACCCCCUUAGACCUGAUUACAUGGUCUGUUUUUCUUCAAAUCACCCACAAAUGACACUGUGGAGCAGGUUUAUUAUCGACUGGCGUACCUUUGCUUAACACGGCCCGCUCCUGAAACAAAUGCACAGAGAAGGUAAUGCAUGUUUGGAGCUUGCGUCUUUGUCUUCAGGAAGGCAGAGGGGCUUAGAAAGGUUAAGCCCACAGUUAACCUCCUCUUCUUCUUAAACCUUUAGCACAUACCCCUAAAGAGAUGGAGGCACCACUGCAUGGAAUAAGACCGGUCUUGCGUAGCACACUUCCUAUAUCAACGGUAUCCCACGGCAAUUGACAAGGAGGGCCGUGAAGCCCAGAGAUGCUGGUUAAACAGCUAAAACCAGGAAUCUAUACGGCAAUUGUCAGCCUCAUCUAUGAGUACAGUUGACUGUCUGUCUACCCACCCAGUCUUAAUUAUUAUUAAUUUUAUAUGUGUGUGUGAAUGGUUUGCAACUUUGAAACUUGCCAGCAAAACAUCUAUAGGGCUAUCUAAGAAUGACAGAUUAUGAAAGCCAAUCCUUUCCUAAUUUGCUCAAGAUUAAUGUUUAGAAUUUCCAUUGAUUUUGACUAACCCCUGCUCCUCUCUUCUUGCAUUUGUGCUGAAACGUGGUUUAGACAUGGAGUGCAGAAAUCAAGAGGGGAAAGUCUUACAUAUCUGCAGGGCAUUUGUGGAUUUCAUGUUCAGUCAGUUAAAUUGUGGUCUCUUCGCCUCACUAAUCCUAUGCAAGGCCCUGUUGUGCAUUCUUUCAACAAAGAAUUGUUGAACCCCGGUCACUUGAAACCCCAGAUUGCCUUUGAUCAUAAAAUAAGUUGACAAGCGGUCAUGGGGUGGUGGGAGUUUUGUGUGUGUUUGUGGGGAUUUGAAUUCUUCUGUAUUUGAAAUGUUUUGUCUGUGAAAAUGUUUUAUACGUUUUUAUUCUCAAUGUUAUUGUUGUUAAAUCA